AGAGUUUGAUCCUGGCUCAGAUUGAACGCUGGCGGAAUGCUUUACACAUGCAAGUCGAGCGGCAGCGCGGGGGCAACCCUGGCGGCGAGCGGCGAACGGGUGAGUAACAUAUCGGAACGUACCCCGUCGUGGGGGGAUAACACAGCGAAAGCUGUGCUAAUACCGCAUACGACCUGAGGGUGAAAGCGGGGGAUCGCAAGACCUCGCGCGAUGGGAGCGGCCGAUAUCGGAUUAGCUUGUUGGUGAGGUAAAGGCUCACCAAGGCGACGAUCCGUAGCUGGUCUGAGAGGACGACCAGCCACACUGGAACUGAGACACGGUCCAGACUCCUACGGGAGGCAGCAGGUGGGGAAUUUUGGACAAUGGGGCAACCCUGAUCCAGCCAUUCCGCGUGAGUGAAGAAGGCCUUCGGGUUGUAAAGCUCUUUCAGCAGGAACGAAACGGUGGCUACUAAUACUAGCUACUAAUGACGGUACCUGAAGAAGAAGCACCGGCUAACUACGUG
rnacentral:rRNA from 1 species